AACCUGCCCAAGAGAUCGGGAUAACACCUGGAAACAGAUGCUAAUACCGGAUAACAACAGAUGAUGCCUAUCAACUGUUUAAAAGAUGGUUCUGCUAUCACUCUUGGAUGGACCUGCGGUGCAUUAGCUAGUCGGUAGGGUAACGGCCUACCAAGGCGAUGAUGCAUAGCCGAGUUGAGAGACUGAUCGGCCACAUUGGGACUGAGACACGGCCCAAACUCCUACGGGAGGCAGCAGGG
rnacentral:rRNA from 1 species